GGUGGCCACGUCGUUCCCGACUGGGUCAUGCUUGUUUUGCAGCUCUUGCUGUUCUUGCACUUUUUUCAACUGGAUGCCUAUUGACCAGAAGCAAAUGUUACAAUCACAUAACCAGACAUACAUUUCCUGACCAUGGAGACAGAUCAGUACCCACCCAUGCGGAUUGCAGAUAACAGAUCACUCCUCACAUCUCUCAGUGGUUUUAUUUCGGUUCUGACGCUUCCACUGAGGUGUGAUGAGGUAGCUGGUGGAAGGAGAGGUGGUGGCGGGGGACCUGGGGGAGGUCCUGGAGGAGGUACAGGUGGAAGUGGGUAACCUGGGCCACCAUGCGUAGUGGCUCCAUUGUGAACUGCUGGGGGGCUGAAACCAAAGGCUGUCUGGGCUGAUGGGAUGGGUGGGCCUUGGGUAGGCGGAGGGUGGGCGCAGCUGAUUGACAAUGAAAAGCAAAAUUGAUUAUGUAUGAUUAAAACAACAACAUUAAAUUCUAGCUUUAAUUACAUAAGUGGUUAUCUUCUAAUCGUACUUAUUAUCUGCCGGCAGGCGUAUUGAAGUGUUCAUCUUCUCUGCGGCUUGAGUUUCUAAUGUUGUUUUCUUAUAGUUGACGUCAAUGCUGUGGUAUUCGUGCUCUGGCGGUGGGGAGGGCUGCACGUUCCCAUGCGACUUGAUGAAGUUAGAAGCGCCGUGUGAUGGCACAGGUGGGCUCGGAUAGUCAGGAACGUCGGGCCUUAGAAGAACAAAAUGAAAGACAUGGUUUCCGGUUCGAAUAAGUGCUGGUGACAGAAAGUGAAUUGUGUUGCGAUGUUAAUUUCGAGAGACUAAAUGAGGAUUUGAAGGUCCUUGAUCACAUUUUCAUGGCACAAACCUGCCGUCUGGGGAGAGUGAGCCUUCGGAAGAUGCCCCACGCCGCAGAGUUUGGGGGUGGCGGUGAUCCGGUCGGAGCUCUUUGUCGAAAGCCAUCAUGUUCCAUUCUUGUUUGCGGUUUCGAGCCUUCCUCACCUUCUUCACCUGGCGCUGGAUGGUGCUACUCUCCACGCAUCGCUUCUGCUCCUGAAUGGAAGGCCCAAGACCUCACCUUGGACCAAGUAUGAGGGAAGUCAUAACCUUGAAUCAACAAGAUCUUCAUGUUCAGGAUCUUGUGUGAUGGAGUGAUGAGUUUCAAAUGAACUGAUAAAUGACAGGGCCCCUGCGGUGCUCGGCAGGACGGAUGCUAAAUGAACCGUGAGUAGCAUUCUUUAUGUAUAAUUACCAAUGACACAGCUUGACAUGUAUAUGGAUUAGAAAACAAAGUUGUAGAUAUUCCAUCUUGGAAAAUAAUUUGGGAAAACUAUUGAUAUGUGACUGCAUAGUUCAGGUGAAGGUCUCAG